GCUGGGCAUGGUGGCGCAUGCCUGUAGUCCCAGCUAAUUGGGAGGCUGAGGUGGGAGGAUCGCCUGAGCCCAGGAGUUCUGGGCUGUAGUUCGCUAUGCCGAUAGGGUGUCCGCACUAAGUUCGGCAUCAAUAUGGUGACCUCCCAGGAGCAGGAGCGGGGGACCACCAGUUUGCCUAAGGAGGGGUGAACCGGCCCAGGUCGGAAAUGGGGCAGGUCAAAACUCCCGUACUGAUCAGAAGUGGGAUCACCCCUGUGAAUAGACACUGCACCCCAGCCUGGACAACAUAGCGAGACCCCAUCUCU
rnacentral:SRP_RNA from 1 species